rnacentral:lncRNA from 1 species
AAUAAAAAUAAAAAAAAAAAAAAAAAAAAAAAAAAAUCAAUCAAACGUUUAAAAUGAAAAAAUUGUAUAUUUCAUUGUUAUCCCUUAUAUUUUAUUUUUGCUGUUCGGAACUGGCAUAUACCAGUAGUAGUGGUGUUUUUGUAACAAACAAAACAGGAGAUAAGAAUCCAAAUGGGGUACAAGGACCAGCUAUGUUAACAACAAACCAAAAUCUACAAGAAGUAAAUACUGACGAAACUAAUAUAUCAAAGAAAAAAGGAAGUACAUUGAUAAGAGAAAUGAAAAAAAAAAGAAGUACGCUCAAUGAAGAAUAUAAUAACUUGAGACAAUAUAUGUUUAAAGUUUUAACUGGAGAAAAGCCUGAGUAUAAGGAUAGUAUGAAUAGUAUAGCUCGUCUUUUCUUGUCAAAAUUUAAAGGCGAAUAUUCACAAGGAAAUAAAGGUUACUCUAUACUUUUUCUUAAUUAUACUAAAAAUGAAAAAACAGAUAAUGAAGCUAAUAUUGGCGGACAUAUUUUUAACUGUCCAUUUAAGAAUGAUAUGACAUCAUGUGAUAUGGCAUAUAUAUCAGAAUUUCCAGAUAUUUAUAUGUUAAAAAACCAUAAAGAUAAUAUUUUUAACAGCAUAUUUAUGCUAUCAGAUAUAUACACUAAAAAUAUUAAUAUCGAUGACGAAGAUUUCAAUUCAGGUUACUUCGCAUUCUUUAUAGAUUAUUUUUACCACUCUGAAUUUAAAAAAAUGGAACUCUCGAUAAUAUUCAAUAUAUGUACAAGUAAAACAAAUAACAAAAAUUGUGAAAUGUUAAACCCUUUGCCACUCAAGAAAUCAUUGUAUCCAGAUGUGUGUCAUUAUGUUAAAAAAAUGAAAAUCCCCAUACAAAAAGCUAAUUCUUUAAAUGAAUGUACUGUUGAUGAUCGUUCUUAUGAAUUACCAUUUUCAGGUGAUGAGCCAUAUCAACUUUACAAGUUAAAACUUUUUAAAUAUACUUAUUACUAUGUUGCAGAAAUUCCGGUAUCAUUUUUUUUAGAAAAUUUCUGUAGUGCAAUAAAAAUAAAUGACAGUGAAUGUAAAAAUAUGUAUUCACAUAUAAACGAGAAGGUGAAAGGAAAUCCUAAAGAAACUAUAGAUUUACUAAAAACAUGUAUGGGAUCUUAUUAUAAGGAAGCAGGACAACCAGCUAAUACUGAUUCUACAAAAUUAAAAAAAAAAAUAAUAAAUAUCCCAACACGUAAAGAUAAAAUUCAUAAUAAAUUCUUAAAACUACUUCUAAAAUAUGUAAAUGAUCGUGACAUCAACCGUUGUAAAAAUACUUACCAAAUAUUAGCUACCUUUAAUUCACUUAGAUAUUCCGAAUUAGCAUCUAAAUUUAACCAAAUUACCAAAAAGUAAGCUGAUAUUUCUACAGGUCAUACCA